GCUAGUUAUUUUUAGUAAUUUGACUAAUUACAUCGAAGUGAGAAUUUUGACAUUGUUAGUCCGAAUUUAUUUUCAUCAUGGCCUCAGGUUUUAGACCACGUUCUUCUUGUGUUCUGCAGUCUACAGAGCAAGAUAUCACAUUCCAUCGACAAUCAACAUCGCUUAUAUAUCCUCGGUAAAA